rnacentral:rRNA from 1 species
UCCGGGGGUAGAGCACUGUUUCGGCUAGGGGGCCAUCCCGGCUUACCAACCCGAUGCAAACUGCGAAUACCGGAGAAUGUUAUCACGGGAGACACACGGCGGGUGCUAACGUCCGUCGUGAAGAGGGAAACAACCCAGACCGCCAGCUAAGGUCCCAAAGUCAUGGUUAAGUGGGAAACGAUGUGGGAAGGCCCAGACAGCCAGGAUGUUGGCUUAGAAGCAGCCAUCAUUUAAAGAAAGCGUAAUAGCUCACUGGUCGAGUCGGCCUGCGCGGAAGAUGUAACGGGGCUAAACCAUGCACCGAAGCUGCGGCAGCGACGCUGAUGCGUUGUUGGGUAGGGGAGCGUUCUGUAAGCCUGUGAAGGUGGCCUGUGAGGGUUGCUGGAGGUAUCAGAAGUGCGAAUGCUGACAUAAGUAACGAUAAAGCGGGUGAAAAGCCCGCUCGCCGGAAGACCAAGGGUUCCUGUCCAACGUUAAUCGGGGCAGGGUGAGUCGACCCCUAAGGCGAGGCCGAAAGGCGUAGUCGAUGGGAAACGGGUUAAUAUUCCCGUACUUGGUGUUACUGCGAAGGGGGGACGGAGAAGGCUAUGUUGGCCGGGCGACGGUUGUCCCGGUUUAAGCGUGUAGGCUGGUUUUCCAGGCAAAUCCGGAAAAUCAAGGCUGAGGCGUGAUGACGAGGCACUACGGUGCUGAAGCAACAAAUGCCCUGCUUCCAGGAAAAGCCUCUAAGCAUCAGGUAACAUCAAAUCGUACCCCAAACCGACACAGGUGGUCAGGUAGAGAAUACCAAGGCGCUUGAGAGAACUCGGGUGAAGGAACUAGGCAAAAUGGUGCCGUAACUUCGGGAGAAGGCACGCUGACACGUAGGUGAAGUGAUUUACUCAUGGAGCUGAAGUCAGUCGAAGAUACCAGCUGGCUGCAACUGUUUAUUAAAAACACAGCACUGUGCAAACACGAAAGUGGACGUAUACGGUGUGACGCCUGCCCGGUGCCGGAAGGUUAAUUGAUGGGGUCAGCGCAAGCGAAGCUCCUGAUCGAAGCCCCGGUAAACGGCGGCCGUAACUAUAACGGUCCUAAGGUAGCGAAAUUCCUUGUCGGGUAAGUUCCGACCUGCACGAAUGGCGUAAUGAUGGCCAGGCUGUCUCCACCCGAGACUCAGUGAAAUUGAACUCGCUGUGAAGAUGCAGUGUACCCGCGGCAAGACGGAAAGACCCCGUGAACCUUUACUAUAGCUUGACACUGAACAUUGAGCCUUGAUGUGUAGGAUAGGUGGGAGGCUUUGAAGUGUGGACGCCAGUCUGCAUGGAGCCGACCUUGAAAUACCACCCUUUAAUGUUUGAUGUUCUAACGUGGACCCGUAAUCCGGGUUGCGGACAGUGUCUGGUGGGUAGUUUGACUGGGGCGGUCUCCUCCUAAAGAGUAACGGAGGAGCACGAAGGUUGGCUAAUCCUGGUCGGACAUCAGGAGGUUAGUGCAAUGGCAUAAGCCAGCUUGACUGCGAGCGUGACGGCGCGAGCAGGUGCGAAAGCAGGUCAUAGUGAUCCGGUGGUUCUGAAUGGAAGGGCCAUCGCUCAACGGAUAAAAGGUACUCCGGGGAUAACAGGCUGAUACCGCCCAAGAGUUCAUAUCGACGGCGGUGUUUGGCACCUCGAUGUCGGCUCAUCACAUCCUGGGGCUGAAGUAGGUCCCAAGGGUAUGGCUGUUCGCCAUUUAAAGUGGUACGCGAGCUGGGUUUAGAACGUCGUGAGACAGUUCGGUCCCUAUCUGCCGUGGGCGCUGGAGAACUGAGGGGGGCUGCUCCUAGUACGAGAGGACCGGAGUGGACGCAUCACUGGUGUUCGGGUUGUCAUGCCAAUGGCACUGCCCGGUAGCUAAAUGCGGAAGAGAUAAGUGCUGAAAGCAUCUAAGCACGAAACUUGCCCCGAGAUGAGUUCUCCCUGAGACUUAGAGUCUCCUGAAGGAACGUUGAAGACGACGACGUUGAUAGGCCGGGUGUGUAAGCGCAGCGAUGCGUUGAGCUAACCGGUACUAAUGAACCGUGAGGCUUAACCUUACAACGCCGAAG